rnacentral:rRNA from 1 species
AACGCGAAGAACCUUACCCACCUUUGACAUGUACGGAAUUUGCCAGAGAUGGCUUAGUGCUCGAAAGAGAACCGUAACACAGGUGCUGCAUGGCUGUCGUCAGCUCGUGUCGUGAGAUGUUGGGUUAAGUCCCGCAACGAGCGCAACCCUUGUCAUUAGUUGCUACAUUUAGUUGGGCACUCUAAUGAGACUGCCGGUGACAAACCGGAGGAAGGUGGGGAUGACGUCAAGUCCUCAUGGCCCUUAUAGGUGGGGCUACACACGUCAUACAAUGGCUGGUACAAAGGGUUGCCAACCCGCGAGGGGGAGCUAAUCCCAUAAACCCAGUCGUAGUCCGGAUCGCAGUCUGCAACUCGACUGCGUGAAGUCGGAAUCGCUAGUAAUCGUGGAUCAGAAUGUCACGGUGAAUACGUUC